rnacentral:rRNA from 6 species
UGGUGGGUAGUUUGACUGGGGCGGUCUCCUCCUAAAGAGUAACGGAGGAGCACGAAGGUUGGCUAAUCCUGGUCGGACAUCAGGAGGUUAGUGCAAUGGCAUAAGCCAGCUUGACUGCGAGCGUGACGGCGCGAGCAGGUGCGAAAGCAGGUCAUAGUGAUCCGGUGGUUCUGAAUGGAAGGGCCAUCGCUCAACGGAUAAAAGGUACUCCGGGGAUAACAGGCUGAUACCGCCCAAGAGUUCAUAUCGACGGCGGUGUUUGGCACCUCGAUGUCGGCUCAUCACAUCCUGGGGCUGAAGUAGGUCCCAAGGGUAUGGCUGUUCGCCAUUUAAAGUGGUACGCGAGCUGGGUUUAGAACGUCGUGAGACAGUUCGGUCCCUAUCUGCCGUGGGCGCUGGAGAACUGAGGGGGGCUGCUCCUAGUACGAGAGGACCGGAGUGGACGCAUCACUGGUGUUCGGGUUGUCAUGCCAAUGGCACUG